AGCCUCCCAAGUACUUGGGACUACAGGCACACACCACCAUAACUGGCUUUUUUUUUCUUUUUGGUAGAUAUGAGGCUUCACCACAUUGCCCAGGCUGGUCUUAAACUCCUGGGCUCAAGCGAUCCUCCCCUUUCAGCCUCUCGAAGUGCUGGGAUUAUUGGCUUGAGCCACCACGCCCAGCCAAGAACCUUGUCUCUUGUGAUGCACCCCAGAACAAAACAUCACUGCAAAAACACACCAAGGCAUGAGUUUCAGUCCUAAUUCCCAUUUAUCCACCAUUCACUAUGUGCCAGGCACAAUGCUAAGUGCUUCUAUGGAUGAGCUUCCCUUAAUCUCAGCAGUAACCAACCAGAAAGGGAAGAAAAACAGGAAGAUGCGGGGCAGGUGAGGAGCUGGGUGAGUGCCGCCAGCCCGCAGCCCAGCAGAGCAGGGCUUGGCCAACCCUGGCGCCAGGGACUUCCCCCCUACCCCCGCCACAAGCCCCUCGCCAG
rnacentral:lncRNA from 1 species